GGUUGUGUAGUGUAGUGGUUAUCACUUCAGAUUUUGACGAGCAUCAUCUUCUGAUAACCCCGGUUCGAACCCGGGCACGACCU